rnacentral:rRNA from 1 species
GACGAACGCUGGCGGCGUGCUUAACACAUGCAAGUCGAACGGAAAGGCCCUGCUUUUGUGGGGUGCUCGAGUGGCGAACGGGUGAGUAACACGUGAGUAACCUGCCCUUGACUUUGGGAUAACUUCAGGAAACUGGGGCUAAUACCGGAUAGGAGCUCCUGCUGCAUGGUGGGGGUUGGAAAGUUUCGGCGGUUGGGGAUGGACUCGCGGCUUAUCAGCUUGUUGGUGGGGUAGUGGCUUACCAAGGCUUUGACGGGUAGCCGGCCUGGGAGGGUGACCGGCGACAUUGGGACUGAGAUACGGCCCAGACUCCUACGGUAGGCAGCAGUGGGGAAUAUUGCACAAUGGGCGGAAGCCUGAUGCAGCAACGCCGCGUGCGGGAUGACGGCCUUCGGGGUGUAAACCGCUUUCGCCUGUGACGAAGCGUGAGUGACGGUAAUGGGUAAAGAAGCACCGGCUAACUACGUG